AGAAGUGAUUUCUUAUUACUUACAAUAAUAAAAUCCGAUAGGCACUUCUA
rnacentral:tRNA from 1 species